GAAAUGCGAUAAGUAAUGUGAAUUGCAGAAUUCAGUGAAUCAUCGAAUCUUUGAACGCACCUUGCACCCUUUGGUAUUCCGAAGGGUACACCCGUUUGAGUGUCAUUGUAAUCUCACUACGACUCCUUUUGUUGUCGUAUGUGGACUUGGAUGUUGCCGUGGAACAAAAACGGCUCGUCUGAAAUGCCUUAGUGUACCCUGCUUUGCGACGUAUUCGGCGUGAUAAAUGUUCACCGAAGUCGAUCCUUUUCGGAUCGCGCCUGCUUAACUAUGGCUCUAUGCUUCCAACCGUCCUUGACAAGGACAGAAUACCUCUGACAAUUUGACCUCAAAUCGGGUGGGACUACCCGCUGAACUUAA
rnacentral:misc_RNA from 1 species